CAAUCAGAGAAGGAAGAGAGGCUGGUUUACCACAUUUCUCCUUAGCUCCUGUUUCCCCACAGGUCUCCAUUAGGAUAUCAGCAAGUAAUUACUCAUGGCCAUAAAUCCAUUCUGGAACAAGGGGAGGCUUCUUGUGAAAGUCAAGUCCAGAAUGUGCUCAGUAAUGAAAGUAAAUAGGGCACAGAACAUGAGAACAUGAACAGGCCUGGAGAAGAGAUGUCCCAAGUCCAUCAUUGCGCAAAGGAGGAAACUGAAGCCCAGAGAGGAAGACAAGUGACCCAGGAUGACAGCUACUGAGUGGAGCAGAGUCAUACCUGGCCCUGAAUCUUCAGACUUCCAGCCUGAGCCUCCCAAGCCUCAUCUUUUGUUGUUUGGCAAAAAGGGCUGCAUAGCAAUGCAAAGUCAGGUGGAACGGAGCACAGGCCUAAGCUUGGCAAAUGUCCCUGAAAACCUGUUGCGAUGAUUAAAAGUUAAUAUGUGUUGGGCGCUUCACACAGUGUCUGGGCCAUAGCAGAUGCUCAGAAGAGGGCUGUCCAUGGGAAAAGUCCACACUGGGUCAUCCCAAGAAAGAUGGGUUUGUUGUGCCCGUGCUUUCACCCGCAUCAAGCCCACAAUUACCCAGUGUCCAUUCCAUGAAGGUGUGGAAAAGGGUCUUUGAUCAAUUUAAAGAUUAGUUUGGUAGUCAUAGAUAGAUAGAGUGAAUGCAACAUGAAGAGAAAAGUCUCAAUGUUUUUUCUAGGAACUGCUAUAGGAAUGAGUUUGGUGACUUUCACUAUCUGAGAUCCCUUAUCUGCAUCUCUAAGCCUGAGGCUCAGCCUGAAUGAAGGACCAGUGUUUCCCC